UACAGAGGUCUCAAGCGUUGUUCGGAUUCAUUGGGCGUAAAGGGUGUGUAGGUGGCGCCGUAAGUCGGGUGUGAAAUCUUGGAGCUUAACUCCGAAACUGCAUUCGAUACUGCCGUGCUUGAGGACUGGAGAGGAGACUGGAAUUUACGGUGUAGCGGUGAAAUGCGCAGAGUAUCAAGGAAGAACACCCGUGGCGAAGGCGGCGACCUGGUUCGUGACUGACGCUGAGGCGCGAAAGCGUGGG
rnacentral:rRNA from 1 species